AGUAGAUUGAAAUAUCAAACAAAGCUAAGUAAAAAGUACCUUAAUUUGAAUCACUUAGGAUAACAAAAUAGCUUCUUUAAAACGCCUCGAAUAUUUAGAUCUUAGAUUCCAACCUGAAAAGAAAUAUAGAGUGUUAAAAGAUAACACCACUAUAAGGUGUAAUUUCAACCAGGGUGAACAUAUUUUACAUUCAGAAGAUAAACAAUAUAACACAAU
rnacentral:lncRNA from 1 species